rnacentral:rRNA from 1 species
AUGAGCGGGAUGAUCUCGUCCACCACCUGCUUAAACUCCCGCGCCUCCAGGGACAUGUCCAACGCACGUCCCUGCACUCCGUCUUCCUCUACGACAACAACCUCACCGGCGCCUUCCCACCGGCGCUCGGGCGCUGCAGGCAGCUGCAGCGGCUGCUCCUUGCAAACAAUGGGUUCUCCGGUCACAUACCGGCCGUCGCAUUGCCACAGAUGGAGAGCCUGUAGCUGCUCGACCUGUCGUCCAACUCCCUCACGGACGCCAUCCCACCUGAGCUCGGCAAGCUCCAGGCGCUGGCCGGUACGCUGA